rnacentral:rRNA from 1 species
CCUACGGGCGGCAGCAGUGGGGAAUCUUCCGCAAUGGACGAAAGUCUGACGGAGCAACGCCGCGUGAGUGAUGACGGCCUUCGGGUUGUAAAGCUCUGUUAAUCGGGACGAAAGGUCCUCUUGCGAAUAGUUAGAGGAAUUGACGGUACCGGAAUAGAAAGCCACGGCUAACUACGUGCCAGCAGCCGCGGUCAUACGUAGGGUGCAAGCAUUAUCCGGAGUGACUGGGCGUAAAGAGUUGCGUAGGCGGUUUAAUAAGUGAAUAGUGAAACCUGGUGGCUCAACCAUACAGACUAUUAUUCAAACUGUUAAACUCGAGAAUGGUAGAGGUAACUGGAAUUUCUAGUGUAGGAGUGAAAUCCGUAGAUAUUAGAAGGAACACCGAUGGCGUAGGCAGGUUACUGGGCCAUUUCUGACGCUAAGGCACGAAAGCGUGGGGA